CCGUCGUGACCGUGCUGAAGGGAAGCGUGAGGGAGAGGAGAAGGAGUGCGGCCGCCGUGGGGGAAAAUCCGCGCGGUGAAGUGGAUUUGGGGCCUAGGCUACUCGUUUGCUGGUGGUUCAAGAGGAGCCACGCAACGAGGAGUUCGAUUCGAUCUAGGUGGCGUCUCCCAGUUGACUGUGGCACCAAGGAUGGACUUUAGUUCGAUCUAUAUUUAUCUUUUAUUUUGUAAAGACUUCCGCUAUGUAAUAAGUACUCUGAUUAUAUUGUGACAUUUAUCUCUAUACACUCUGUUAUUA